ACCACAAAAAUCUUCUCUGGUCUUCCUCCGCCUCCCUACAUCGAGUGUUGCUUGAUUCUUUCCCUUGCACUCCGACCGACGCCUCCGAUUCUUCCCCGUUCGUUGACAUCGAUCAAGUCUCAUUUACUUCUACCCACUGGAACCACCAUAUCUCCCACUCGAUGUUGAAAUUAUAAAUCGAAAAAGGGGAAUUAGAAUGACGAAGGCAGUGGGAGUUUUGGUCCGGUGGUCGUGGUUCAUCUAUCGGGCAAGGAAGAUGGGAACGCAACCAACCAUGGUGGCUCGAUGAUGGCAAUCAAUCUAGAAAGGGGAAGCACCUCUGGUGCGGGACCGAUUUGAAGAAAGGAGAAGGGAGAAGCGUGUCUAUGAGUCCCAAAGCACAAAAUCAAGACUAGGGAUUUUUUCAAAGAUCUAUCUCCAUCUCUCUCUCUCUCUCUCUUAGGUUCCAGAUGGUGGCUUAAGGGAAGGAAGAAGACAGCGAGGGUGGCUUAGAAGAAGGAAGACACCAGGAUGGUUAUAGGUAAAACUAGGGAUUUUUUGAUCGGAUACCUUACAACCCAGUUGCUUCACUCUCGAUUGCAGCGUCGUUCGACAACUAAGACUCCUCCAUCGUAUUGGUGCUGCGACUCUUCAGGCUACGACAUCGGGCACUACACACCUGUCUAUUAAUCACUCUCAUACUCAUCACAUAAGAACGAAAAGUUAUCUAUCACCAUCGUUACAUCAGUAUCGACUCCUCAGGCUCACUGGUCCACCUGCCCUCCACCCUACUCCAUCUACUAAAACUCCUCAGGUUUGCAAGCCCUAGGUCUAAUUGCACUAAGGUACGAAAAUGAUGCUUCUACCUUGCCCUAUUUCUUCAUCCGUUCAACAAAUAAGAGGAAACGUAAUUUCUCAUUCAUCUAUCGACUUCAUCUUCUCAAUCAAGCAAAACGGCUUAUGAGUUUUUCUUGCAUCUACGAUUUCACUUGGUAUUUUCGAUUUCUCCUUUAUGCCUCCAUUUUUUUCCUACAUCUACUUCUCAUCUCUGAAAAAAACUUGAUUUCACCAUUUCAGCUUACCGUUGCUUUUAGUUUCAUUCUCUGAACAAGUUGUUGUUUGGGAAGCUACAUGUCAAGUGCAUGCAACAGAUAUCCAAUUAUUAGUAUAUACAACUAGGCUAGAAGAAUAACUUCUUAUAAUCAAGAACCAACUAGUCAAACUAAUGUUAUAUUCUCUAAUAUGUGAUGUUUUUAAGUAUAACUAGUUUUUUUCUAAUAUUUUUUAUGAUUUAAUAGAGUGAUGGUCAUCUUUUUUUUUUUAUUGUUUUUCUUGUUCCUAGGUUUUUUUAAGACCUGGUAGACAAGGAUAUGAGUUAUAUACUCUCUUAUAUGCCAUGUUUUCUUGAAAUUGUAGUGAUUAUUAUAACUUCUUUUCAUGAUACAAUAUGAGGUAGUCAAAAACAAAAUGAAGGCCUGCAAUACAAAAGUGGAAGGUGAGUCGCUUAAGUUUUAGUGAGAAGCAUAUCAUAACCUUUUCUCCUUUAACAUGACUGAACUUCAACUCAAACAGGUAAAAAGUUAAUGAAUUUUAUUUGGUCAAUUUCUUGCAGAUAAAUUUUAUAAGUUUUAAAUAUUUCUUAUCUGAUCUCAAGGUAAAUCUCCCUUUUUCAUUGUGCUUUUUUCAUGUUUAAUAACAGUAAGUUUGAUUUCAUGUGUAGGAUGGAGAAGCUUAUGCUUACCUACUAAAUGUUCUUGCACCAAAACAUUGCGGCCCAACCACAUUGAAUACCAAGGGUCUGGUAUCCUCUUUCUUUGAGCUGUUCAUCAUAGAAGUAGGUGGAUGUUGUUGAGUUGCAAUAUUUGGAUUAAAAAUAUCUGGAACAGCUGUUGAGUCAUACCCCCACCCCUACCCCCCACUUGACUUCCAGAAGCAUUUCCUACACAAAAAUUCUGAGCAUGCAUCUGUUGCAGGAUUCAACAUAAAUCUUGAAGAGUUUAUUCUUUAUCAGUCUACUUUUGAGAUGUGAGUGUUGUUUGUUUAGCAAUGGUGAGUAUGUGAAAGUGGGAUUGGCUGAACUAGACCACUGGUGUUUUAACGCAACUUAUGAGGUAACUCUUGAGUGAUAUUUUCUUUCAUUGGAAUGGAAUUAACGAUUCCAUUCCUUCCUCAAUUCCGUCAUGCCAAACAAUAUUUUCUAUUCUUAUUUGCUAAACAAAAGGACUGCAGUAUUCAGGUUCUGCUUGGGAUGAACUGAAGCAUAUACGGCAGGCUAUAGCAUUUCUGGUAAAGUUUCUUUUAUUAUAUAAAAAUUUAGUCUUUAUGGUUUUAAAGAUUUUAUUUUAAUCAGUUUUAAUCCCAUUCAGGUUAUACAUCAAAAGCCAAAGAAAACACUGGAAGAAAUAAGUCAUGACCUCUGCCUAGUGAUGACAAGUAUGGGACACAAAGCAUCUCCCCAGAUGUUGUGAUCCUCAUAAUUCUUGUGGUGAAUACUCUCUUUCCUAUUUUAUAUGAAGGGACUGGUUCAGCUCUACUGGAAAAGCCAUGUUUUAGGGGACUUACAAUACAUGCUUGUUGUCUUGUCUGUAAUGCUUGUCACAUAUCUCAAUGUGUUGUUAACAUCAGGUAGAAAACUUUUUGUUGGAGGCGUUGCUUGGGAGACUUCAGAAGGCGCAGUUUAAGAGACAUUUUUCGCAAAGUUUCAAAUUUUGCCUUGGAAGUGAAGAUAGGCUCAUUGCAUACCGUGGUGUCUGACAAAGAAUAUGGUAUAACAAAAUGUCUAGAAGGAAUCGAAUGCCACGGGGCCCACAUGAGGGCCCAAUACACCAGGCCCACGGGCCCCUCCCUCCUCACCCUGCUGCACUCGAAGAAGAACUUGAACUCCAACAUAGAGACAUCCAAUGAAUCAUUUCUAAUCAUUUCUAAUCUUUUCUCCUUUAAGCCCAUGAACAUAAACUUAAUAAAUGGAUAAAUCACAUUUUUCAUCCCUAUAUUUGUUGAUUUUUGUGGAUAUGGUCUAGCAGUUUUACUUUUAACCUUUUUUUCCUUUAAAAAGUAUUAUUGUCACACUUUCAGUCCCUAAUGGACCAUGUUUAUUUGAACCUGUUAAGCCAAUGUAAAUGACUAUUUUGCCCUUUCCUUUAUAUAUUAUUAUCAUCAUAGUUGUGAUUAUUAUUGGUUUUUAUUAUGAUUAACAUAUGGAACUUAAUAAACAGGUAAAUUACAUUUCCCCCAAGGUUUAUCGAUUUUUAUUGAUAUUGUAGGACAGUGGUGACACAAAUCUAGAAACAGUGUUAAAGGAAGCUUCCAUGGAAAACAAAACGGUUAUUCUAACAACUCUAAAUAAAGCAUGGGCAGAUCCACAAAACUCAAUUUUGGAUCUAAUUUUGGAAAGUUUUAGAAUUUGUUACAAAACCAGUAAACUUUUAAAUCAUUUGGUGAUUAUUGCCCUUGAUCAGAAAGCAUUUAUGAGAUGUAAACAUGUACACUCUCAUUGCUUUGCACUUGUUACUGAAGGAUAUGAUCUCUCACAGGAAGCCUAUAUUAUGACCCUUGAUUAUUUGAAGAUGAUGUAGCUUAGGAUUGACUUUCUUCGUUUUGUUCUUGAGUUGGGAUACAGCUUUCUCUUCAUGGUUGCCCUCAUGCUUGAAGGGAUGGGUUCAUCAGCACAAAUCUUGAAACGUUACUUAUCAUUCACAACUAUAAAAUUUGUCCCUGAUUUUUCAGUGCAUGCAUCUUUGCAAGUUUAUUCCUGUUUUUCUUGUCAUUUGUAUUGCAUUUAAUGAUAAGGAUCAGGAGGGACUUUAUGUCUUUUUUUAUCCUUCAAAGUUUUGGAGCAGGGAGCUGAUUCGGCAAGCAAGCAUUGGUCCUUUAGAAUGUUGGUGAGGUGGGUUAUGCCUUUCAAGAUCUAUUGGAGAUAGAGAUGUUGGGGAGUUCAUUAUUCCAGUUCCUCAUGUCAAACAAGUGAAGUGAUGGAGUCGCGGAUUGGCUCUGGAAUCAGCAGCAGCACAAAUUAUCAAAGUACGGAAACAAAAAAAUGUUAAAUUUGUAAUAAAAUAUUAUGCAAUGGAUUCUAUUUUUUGUAUAUGAUAUUUUGUAUGACAUUAAAUUUUAUGAAUUGGAUUAUAUUUUUUGUA